rnacentral:ncRNA from 2 species
AAUCCUGAUGCAGUCGAAGGUUCUUCGUCCGGGGCGUGCCCCGCGGCGGAGCUAAGACGGGAAGCCGGUGCGAUGCCGGCGCUGCCCCCGCAACUGUAAGCGGUGAGCUGCGGUCCAUAAUGUCACUGGGGUUCGCGCCCCGGGAAGACGGACCGUCGGCUGUGACCCGCGAGCCAGGAGACCUGCCUGCGACGCAUAACGUCC